UAAAGACUCCUUUUCCAAUAAGUAGAUAUCCAUUAGUGGGAUUGCUGGAUCAAAUGGUAGUUCUACUUUUACAUGAAACAACAGUCAUUUAUUUCACCAGGGUGAUAACUAAAAGACUUUAAAAGAAAUUAGAGAAAGUUACAUAGUUUAGGGGGAAAAAAAAACAAGCAAGCCUUAGACCUUUAACAGAGAUCACUCAGUUUUACCACUUAAUCAAAGGCCCUGAUAAAAAAAAAAAAAAAAAAAAACAGGAAAAAGAAAAUCAUUUUGAUAAGAUGCAAGUCAGUUUUCCUAGGAAAACUUUUAAAAUAUAAAGAAAAACCUCCUGCAGUGUGAUUGCUUCUCUUAUGGGAAGCCCAUUUAGAGAACCUGAAGUCAAGCCUGAUGAAAAGUUACUUUAAUUUAGUCAGAAAUUGGAAUAAUGUGUAUCUAAGGUUAUGAGCACACACCAUAUUAUAGAAGAAUGUGCCACAUUACAGAAGAACGUACCAUAUUAUAGAAAAACAUAAACAAGACAAUUAGUACCUUGAGUAGGGGAAUACACAGCUCUUAGAAAAAGUAAAAGCACAUAAAAUUUCCUGGUUACAUGGAAUAAUUAAGACACAUCAAGAAACCCAAGGGUAUAGAAUCAAGUUAUAUUGGAGGAAAAUAUUGCCCUCCUAGGCCUUUAAGGCAAACAUUCUUCAGCAUCAGGCCACAAUAGCAGACUUAGAACUGGAAAUAGGAGAAUAAAAAGCUAUAAGUGCCAAGACCAGCUCAAUUGUGGACACAGCAGGACUACAGGAAUUAAGACACACACACAGAAAUAUAGAGUG
rnacentral:lncRNA from 10 species